GACGUCUAUGAAUCCGUGCCGAGACCUCAUCAGAUACCAGGGCAUCAGGACUGGUGAGACUCCCAAGAUAAGUGAGGUG
rfam:Schistosoma margrebowiei strain Zambia genome assembly, scaffold: SMRZ_contig0006278